AGUAACCUGGCGGUAUCCUACAGCUGACAGUCGUACGAGAGUUUCCACUCAAUUAGCGGACGGGUGAGUAACACGUAAGAAUUUGCCUUUAGGAGGGGGCUAACAACUGGAAACGGUUGCUAAUACCCCAUAUGCUUUCGAGUGAAAUGGAUUUUCCGCCUAGAGAGAAGCUUGCGGCUGAUUAGCUUGUUGGUAAGGUAAUGGCUUACCAAAGCGACGAUCACGUAUCUGGUUUGAGAGGACGAUCAGACACACUGGAACUGAGACACGGUCCAGACUCCUACGGGAGUGCAGCAAGUGGGGCAUUUCCAGAAUGGGCGAAAGCCUGACGGAGCAAUAACGCGUGAGGGAUGACGGCCUAUGGGUUGUAAAGCUCCUUUAUUCACGGAGGACAAAACGUGACGUAGUACCUUGAAGAAUUCAGCAUAAGGUAACUCCGUGACAAGCAACCGCGGGAAACACCGGACGAUGCCAGUGUUAUCCCGGAAAUCACUGGGCGUAAAGCGUCUGUCAGUGGCCCAUACAAUCACUGGAACCUCUUGAGAGCCAACCCUCGACACCGCAAUCACAAACUAUAAGACUAGAAGUAUCCGAAGGCGGACAACGGACUCACCAGUGGGAACCGUGAAAAUGCCGAAAGACUUCGGACGAACACCCC
rnacentral:rRNA from 1 species